rnacentral:rRNA from 1 species
GGUCGAUGUAGAAGUCUGACGGAGCACGCCGCGUGAGUGAUGAAGGCUUUCGGGUCGUAAAACUCUGUUGUUAGGGAAGAACAAGUGCUAGUUGAAUAAGCUGGCACCUUGACGGUACCUAACCAGAAAGCCACGGCUACUACGUGCCAGCAGCCGCGGUAAUACGUAGGUGGCAAGCGUUAUCCGGAAUUAUUGCCCAAAAGCCGCAGGUGGUUUCUUAAGUCUGAUGGAAGCCCAGGCUCAACCGUGGAGGG